rnacentral:lncRNA from 1 species
CACGUCUAACUCGCUUCGCAUGGUUGCUCCAACAUUGCUACCGGCGAGCGUGAUAAUUCUAAAUCCAUGAUCAUCAGCAUCAUCAUCAUUGUCAGCACGCUGGUCAAGAUCAUCAUCAUAGCGGCUUGAACCUCGGUCUGCAAGGCGACGAGUGAGCGCAGAGAUCAUGUCUCUAAUUUCACAAUCAAGCAGCUGUUUUUGCUAAUCUCCCUCUGUCAUUGUUUGAAAUUGGUAAUGCUAGAGCAGUGGGGGGUUUGGGGGUUACAUUUAAAGACACCUGCUGGCUUAUGGGAAUUGAUUAAAGGUAGC